GGAUUAGAUACCCUGGUAGUCCACGCCGUAAACGAUGAUAACUAGCUGUCGGGGCUCUUGGAGCUUCGGUGGCGCAGCUAACGCAUUAAGUUAUCCGCCUGGGGAGUACGGCCGCAAGGUUAAAACUCAAAGGAAUUGACGGGGGCCUGCACAAGCGGUGGAGCAUGUGGUUUAAUUCGAAGCAACGCGCAGAACCUUACCAGCGUUUGACAUCGCAGGACGAUUUCCGGAGACGGAUUUCUUCUCGCAAGAGACUUGCAGACAGGUGCUGCAUGGCUGUCGUCAGCUCGUGCCG
rnacentral:rRNA from 1 species